CCCCCUUUCCACUCCACCCCACGCCCUUAAACUGAACCAAAAUCAAACCGUCGCCAUCGCCGUUCCUUUCCUCCACCACCACUCGUCAUCGCUAACUCCGUUCCUUUCCACCACCACUCGCCGCCACCGCGAACCACCACCAUCGUUGACCCAAAUCUCAAACAGCAAACACAAAUCUCUCUCAAAUCCUAUGUUAAUCUUCCAAAUUUCCGAAUGAGUCCUCAGGGUAACCAAGAUGGUGAAUCUAAUCGCUGAAGCUUAAAUGAGGCCUCCCCAUCCAGAUUUAAAGUAUAUUAAUAAAAUUCAAAGAGGCGAAUUUUACAAGCCAAAUCUUGUUGAAGCCUGUGGAAGGACCUCAAUUUACGUCCUUGAAGUGGGUUCAGAAAUGGUUUGGGGGUGUUGGAUUUGAUUAACAAGGAUUUUGCUAGGUUGGUGGUGGUAAUAGACUACCCCAUGACGACGUGGGAUAGAGUCACUACUGAAGAAUUUUUCAAAUAUAGUUUACAGUCUAUGGACUUGUUGAAUUCUAUUACCUCUUUCAUUUCCUAUUCAUACAAGCUAAGAUUUUCUUUUUUAUGCUUUAACCCUGGUUGAAAAAUCCCCUUCUUCUGCAAAGGAAAAUCUGCUGCAAAUCAAACCUCUUCCAUUUGACAGUGGAGAAGAUGGUGGCAGCUGUGGCGGAGGCGGCUGUGGGUUUGGUGGUGGACCUGGUGGUGGCAACGACGUUUAUAGUGGUGGGCGACAGGGGAGAACAGUGAUAUUGGUCUUGCGUAGGCCGUAGGGGGUGGGGUUUGGACGGAAUGGGUGAAGAUGGCAACUGCGAGUGUGUGAGAUGAUGAUUUAAAAAAAUUUCAUUUAAUUAUUUUAGUUAUUUAAUGUGAAAAAAAAUUUUCUUUUAAAAUUGGUCAAAGUUAAUUUUUCUUGGUCAACUAAUGGUCCAAUUUCAUUUUGCGAAUUUUUAAAAGAAUAAUGCUUCUUAUACACCAAGCCUUACGCUCCCCUCACAUGAGGGGAGGGGUUCACGCCCAUUUAAUGUGCGGGUUCCACUCUUCAUGUGAGGGGGCUGUACACUGAGUUGUAACAUGUAGCAGGGCCAUUUUUAAAGUGUUUGGAUCCAUGAUUGGCAUAAAGUGAAAGGUUAAAGAGAAAAAGUCCGUGAAAAAUGAAAAGUCUUGAGACCUCUUUUGCAAUUUUGCCUUUAAACCAAGGGAACAUACAAUCUAGUAUACUCAGUCUUGCUAACAGUUGCAGUGUGAGAAUUCGAUUUUUGAAACAUGGAUUGAGGGUUUUUGUGGGUAUCAGCGUAUAUGCAAUUUUUAUUUCCUAACCUGUUGGGACAUAUUCAGCGAUUAGCCUCUUUCACGAUGCUUCAGGGGCGGGGCGGUAGGAG
rnacentral:lncRNA from 1 species